UGCAGUCGACGGAGUUAUUUUGGCAGAAGCCUUCGGGUGGACGCUGAUAUAACUUAGUGGCGAACGGGUGAGUAACACGUGAGCAACCUGCCCUUCAGAGGGGGACAACAGUUGGAAACGACUGCUAAUACCGCAUAAGACCACGGUGUGGCAUCACACAGAGGUCAAAGGAGAAAUCCGCUGAAGGAUGGGCUCGCGUCCAAUUAGCUAGAUGGUGAGGUAACGGCCCACCAUGGCGACGAUUGGUAGCCGGACUGAGAGGUUGAUCGGCCACAUUGGGACUGAGACACGGCCCAGACUCCUACGGGAGGCAGCAGUGGGGAAUAUUGCACAAUGGAGGAAACUCUGAUGCAGCGACGCCGCGUGAGGGAAGAAGGUCUUCGGAUUGUACACCUCUGUUGUCAGGGACGAUAAUGACGGUACCUGACGAGGAAGCCACGGCUAACUACGUGCCAGCAGCCGCGGUAAAACGUAGGUGGCAAGCGUUGUCCGGAAUUACUGGGUGUAAAGGGAGCGCAGGCGGGAGAGCAAGUUGGAAGUGAAAUCUGUGGGCUCAACUCACAAAUUGCUUUCAAAACUGUUUUUCUUGAGUGGUGUAGAGGUAGGCGGAAUUCCCGGUGUAGCGGUGGAAUGCGUAGAUAUCGGGAGGAACACCAGUGGCGAAGGCGGCCUACUGGGCACUAACUGACGCUGAGGCUCGAAAGCAUGGGUAG
rnacentral:rRNA from 1 species